GAUUCCAGGAAUAACUGUCCA
rnacentral:miRNA from 1 species